GAUGAACGCUGGCGGCGUGCCUAAUACAUGCAAGUCGAGCGAACAGACGAGGCGCUUGCUCCUUUGACGAUAGCGUCGGACGGGUGAGUAACACGUUGGUAACUUACUUAUAUGACUGGGAUAACUUCGGGAAACCGGAGCACAUACCCGAUAAUAUUUCGAACUUAAUUGUUCGAUAGUGAAAGAUGGAUUUGCUAUCACUUAUAGCUAGAACGUCGCCGUAUUAGCUAGUUGGUAAGGUAACGGCUUACCAAGGCAACGAUCCGUAGCCGACCUGAGAGGGGGAUCGGCCACACUGGAACUGAGACACGGUCCAGACUCCUACGGGAGGCAGCAGUAGGGAAUCUUCCGCAAUGGGCGAAAGCCUGACGGAGCAACGCCGCGUGAGUGAUGAGGGUCUUCGGAUCGUAAAACUCUGUUAUUAGGGAGGAACAAACGUGUAAGUAACUGUGCACGUCGUGACGGUACCUAAUCAGAAAGCCACGGCUAACUACGUG
rnacentral:rRNA from 1 species